GUGAGUAACACGUGGGUGACCUACCUUCGAGUGGGGGAUAACGUCCCGAAAGGGACGCUAAUACCGCAUAACAUCCUGCCUUUGAACAGGCGGAGAUCAAAGCCGGGGAUCGCAAGACCUGGCGUUUGAAGAGGGGCCCGCGUCCGAUUAGCUAGUUGGUGAGGUAACGGCCCACCAAGGCGACGAUCGGUAACCGGCCUGAGAGGGCGGACGGUCACACUGGGACUGAGACACGGCCCAGACUCCUACGGGAGGCAGCAGUGGGGAAUUGUUCGCAAUGGGCGCAAGCCUGACGACGCAACGCCGCGUGGAGGAUGAAGGUCUUCGGAUUGUAAACUCCUGUUGCCAGGGACGAAAAGCCUCGACCUAACACGUCGAGGUCUGACGGUACCUGGUGAGGAAGCCCCGGCUAACUCUGUGCCAGCAGCCGCGGUAAUACAGAGGGGGCAAGCGUUGUUCGGAAUUACUGGGCGUAAAGGGCGCGUAGGCGGCCUGUUAAGUCGAACGUGAAAUCCCUGGGCUCAACCCAGGAACUGCGUCCGAUACUGGCAGGCUUGAAUCCGGGAGAGGGAUGUGGAAUUCCAGGCGUAGCGGUGAAAUGCGUAGAUAUCUGGAGGAACACCGGUGGCGAAGGCGGCAUCCUGGACCGGUAUUGACGCUGAGGCGCGAAAGCCAGGGGAGCAAACGGGAUUAGAUACCCCGGUAGUCCUGGCCCUAAACGAUGAAUGCUUGGUGUGGCGGGUAUCGAUCCCUGCC
rnacentral:rRNA from 1 species